AGCGAACGCUGGCGGCAGGCCUAACACAUGCAAGUCGAACGAAGUCUUCGGACUUAGUGGCGGACGGGUGAGUAACACGUGGGAACGUGCCUUUAGGUUCGGAAUAACUCAGGGAAACUUGUGCUAAUACCGAAUGUGCCCUUCGGGGGAAAGAUUUAUCGCCUUUAGAGCGGCCCGCGUCUGAUUAGCUAGUUGGUGGGGUAAUGGCCCACCAAGGCUACGAUCAGUAGCUGGUCUGAGAGGAUGGCCAGCCACAUUGGGACUGAGACACGGCCCAAACUCCUACGGGAGGCAGCAGUGGGGAAUCUUGCGCAAUGGGCGAAAGCCUGACGCAGCCAUGCCGCGUGGAUGAUGAAGGUCUUAGGAUUGUAAAAUCCUUUCACCGGUGAAGAUAAUGACUGUAGCCGGAGAAGAAGCCCCGGCUAACUUCGUGCCAGCAGCCGCGGUAAAAC
rnacentral:rRNA from 1 species